rnacentral:tRNA from 1 species
UCCCUGGUGGUCUAGUGGAUAAUGAUGGCACGGCCCGGGUUCAAUUCCCGGGCAGGGAA